rnacentral:rRNA from 1 species
UUAAGCGACUAAGCGUACACGGUGGAUGCCCUGGCAGUCAGAGGCGAUGAAGGACGUGCUAAUCUGCGAAAAGCGUCGGUAAGGUGAUAUGAACCGUUAUAACCGGCGAUGUCCGAAUGGGGAAACCCAGUGUGAUUCGUCACACUAUCGUUAACUGAAUACAUAGGUUAACGAGGCGAACCGGGGGAACUGAAACAUCUAAGUACCCCGAGGAAAAGAAAUCAACCGAGAUUCCCCCAGUAGCGGCGAGCGAACGGGGAGCAGCCCAGAGUCUGAAUCAGCUUGUGUGUUAGUGGAACGGUCUGGAAAGUCCGACGGUACAGGGUGAUAGUCCCGUACACCAAAAUGCACAGGCUGUGAACUCGAAGAGUAGGGCGGGACACGUGGUAUCCUGUCUGAAUAUGGGGGGACCAUCCUCCAAGGCUAAAUACUCCUGACUGACCGAUAGUGAACCAGUACCGUGAGGGAAAGGCGAAAAGAACCCCGGCGAGGGGAGUGAAAAAGAACCUGAAACCGUGUACGUACAAGCAGUGGGAGCACCUUCGGGUGUGACUGCGUACCUUUUGUAUAAUGGGUCAGCGACUUAUAUUCUGUAGCAAGGUUAACCGUAUAGGGGAGCCGCAGGGAAACCGAGUCUUAACUGGGCGUUAAGUUGCAGGGUAUAGACCCGAAACCCGGUGAUCUAGCCAUGGGCAGGUUGAAGGUUGGGUAACACUAACUGGAGGACCGAACCGACUAAUGUUGAAAAAUUAGCGGAUGACUUGUGGCUGGGGGUGAAAGGCCAAUCAAACCGGGAGAUAGCUGGUUCUCCCCGAAAGCUAUUUAGGUAGCGCCUCGUGAACUCAUCUUCGGGGGUAGAGCACUGUUUCGGCUAGGGGGUCAUCCCGACUUACCAACCCGAUGCAAACUACGAAUACCGAAGAAUGUUAUCACGGGAGACACACGGCGGGUGCUAACGUCCGUCGUGAAGAGGGAAACAACCCAGACCGCCAGCUAAGGUCCCAAAGUCAUGGUUAAGUGGGAAACGAUGUGGGAAGGCACAGACAGCCAGGAUGUUGGCUUAGAAGCAGCCAUCAUUUAAAGAAAGCGUAAUAGCUCACUGGUCGAGUCGGCCUGCGCGGAAGAUGUAACGGGGCUAAACCAUGCACCGAAGCUGCGGCAGCGACACUAUGUGUUGUUGGGUAGGGGAGCGUUCUGUAAGCCUGCGAAGGUGUGCUGUGAGGCAUGCUGGAGGUAUCAGAAGUGCGAAUGCUGACAUAAGUAACGAUAAAGCGGGUGAAAAGCCCGCUCGCCGGAAGACCAAGGGUUCCUGUCCAACGUUAAUCGGGGCAGGGUGAGUCGACCCCUAAGGCGAGGCCGAAAGGCGUAGUCGAUGGGAAACAGGUUAAUAUUCCUGUACUUGGUGUUACUGCGAAGGGGGGACGGAGAAGGCUAUGUUAGCCGGGCGACGGUUGUCCCGGUUUAAGCAUGUAGGCUGGUUGUCCAGGCAAAUCCGGAUAAUCAAGGCUGAGGUGUGAUGACGAGGCACUACGGUGCUGAAGUAACAAAUGCCCUGCUUCCAGGAAAAGCCUCUAAGCAUCAGGUAACAUCAAAUCGUACCCCAAACCGACACAGGUGGUCAGGUAGAGAAUACCAAGGCGCUUGAGAGAACUCGGGUGAAGGAACUAGGCAAAAUGGUGCCGUAACUUCGGGAGAAGGCACGCUGGUGUGUAGGUGAAGUCCCUGCGGAUGGAGCUGAGACCAGUCGAAGAUACCAGCUGGCUGCAACUGUUUAUUAAAAACACAGCACUGUGCAAACACGAAAGUGGACGUAUACGGUGUGACGCCUGCCCGGUGCCGGAAGGUUAAUUGAUGGGGUUAUCCGUAAGGAGAAGCUCUUGAUCGAAGCCCCGGUAAACGGCGGCCGUAACUAUAACGGUCCUAAGGUAGCGAAAUUCCUUGUCGGGUAAGUUCCGACCUGCACGAAUGGCGUAAUGAUGGCCAGGCUGUCUCCACCCGAGACUCAGUGAAAUUGAACUCGCUGUGAAGAUGCAGUGUACCCGCGGCAAGACGGAAAGACCCCGUGAACCUUUACUAUAGCUUGACACUGAACAUUGAGCCUUGAUGUGUAGGAUAGGUGGGAGGCUUUGAAGCGUGGACGCCAGUCUGCGUGGAGCCAACCUUGAAAUACCACCCUUUAAUGUUUGAUGUUCUAACGUUGGCCCCUUACCGGGGUUGCGGACAGUGUCUGGUGGGUAGUUUGACUGGGGCGGUCUCCUCCCAAAGCGUAACGGAGGAGCACGAAGGUUAGCUAAUCCUGGUCGGACAUCAGGAGGUUAGUGCAAUGGCAUAAGCUAGCUUGACUGCGAGCGUGACGGCGCGAGCAGGUGCGAAAGCAGGUCAUAGUGAUCCGGUGGUUCUGAAUGGAAGGGCCAUCGCUCAACGGAUAAAAGGUACUCCGGGGAUAACAGGCUGAUACCGCCCAAGAGUUCAUAUCGACGGCGGUGUUUGGCACCUCGAUGUCGGCUCAUCACAUCCUGGGGCUGAAGUAGGUCCCAAGGGUAUGGCUGUUCGCCAUUUAAAGUGGUACGCGAGCUGGGUUUAGAACGUCGUGAGACAGUUCGGUCCCUAUCUGCCGUGGGCGCUGGAGAAUUGAGGGGGGCUGCUCCUAGUACGAGAGGACCGGAGUGGACGCAUCACUGGUGUUCGGGUUGUCAUGCCAAUGGCACUGCCCGGUAGCUAAAUGCGGAAGAGAUAAGUGCUGAAAGCAUCUAAGCACGAAACUUGCCCCGAGAUGAGUUCUCCCUGAGACUUUAAGUCUCCUGAAGGAACGUUGAAGACGACGACGUUGAUAGGCCGGGUGUGUAAGCGCAGCGAUGCGUUGAGCUAACCGGUACUAAUAAACCGUGAGGCUUAACCUU